rnacentral:lncRNA from 1 species
AGAGUCCAUCUGGCCGAGCUGUGGUGCACCACUGAAUUGCACAUCCGUCCCCUGUGUUCAUUCUGAGUCAGGGAAAACAUAUGAAGAAUUUAGCCAGGCCUUGGCUGCCCCAAGAGGAAAUAUGGGGAUCUCUUGCUGUUCUGGGAUGAGCCGAUCUAAUAGCUUUCUGGUAGAAGUCUUUCCAGGGCCCUUCAAGUGACAUUGUGCUGGUUUUUAUCGCUCAGUCUCAGAUGUCCUCGCUCCCGAGACAGUCACAUUGGAAUGUGGAGAGAGGCUGUACAAUUCAGUCCAUAGUAUGAGUUGGCUGGACGGUUUAUACCACUAAUGAGCCCUUUAAAUAACUGCAGCAUGGAGGGACCCUGAGACCCAGACUCUGACCUUGGUCAUUGCUUCACAGACACCAUAUCCAGAGAACUUGACUCUAACCUGGACUUCCGUUCAUUGCGGUGACCUGGGGGAAUCUAAACCAAGGCCUAGGUUACACACCCUUGUUUCCAGCUAUGUCUGGUGGCCAGCUGGGCAACAAGAGUCACCCAGAAGGCAUGAAGAAUUCUUGGCUCAAACUUAGAUGGAGGAUAAAGGCCAACAUCUGAGGGAGAUGGAGUAUAAUUCUUGGGCAUUGGUCCUUUUUCCCCAAGACACCCUCGAACACAUGCCAUCCACUGUGGAGAUGAGGGAGCAAAUACUUCACGGAGGCUUGUUUUCCCAUGAGCCAGGCACGAUAAAUGGAUCCAGCAGAAGUGAACGAAACAGAAACCCAGGCUACAGUUCUGUAUAUCCUGGAGCACCCAGAACGAUGCAGACCCUUCAAGUUUCUUAGUUUACUACUUUGGGGGAUAUUUUGAAGAGAUUUUUUUUUCUUCAUAACCUCAAGGCCAAUGUUUCAGCGUUGAACUGCAAAUGUAUUCUGCUGUGGCCAGAGAUUCAUGGAUAUUUCAGCUACUUCUUAGGCUGUUCAAUUUCCUGUUUCAUUGAUCAGAGAGACCAUCCUUGUCCACACAGGAACUGCAAGGUUUUUGUAGUAAUAGGAUCUAACAAUCUAAAGCAGGUAGAAGAGUUCCUCUUGAUCUUCUUCUGGGAAGUCCCCCUGUCAGGAGGUAAGCAGAAGACAAAACCACUGUCCGAAUUGGAUUCCUACACCUUAUGACCCAUUUAUGGUUGUACAAAGCUAGAGGUCCUGAAGUCGGCUUUACAGAAAGUAGGGACGUGGCUAUAAUUGGGCUCUAGCCCCAAGGGCAUUUAGCUUGAGUUUUACGUGAAUACAGCCCUGGGUUCUGUUGCCUAACUAUAAACAAACAAAUGAAUCAAUAGCAGCCAUGUAUUAGCCAUUGAAUCCGAGGUGAAUUUCAUGUGCAGUAUGGAAGGGACAUGUGCCGGUGUCUUCUUCUGGACACCGUGUCAUCUUUAUGUUUGCUGUGGAAUUAUGACAUUGGAAAAUUGGUGCCUCCCUUAAGGUCUUCCAAGGGAAAGGAACUCAUGAGCACUUUGCUAAGGGACUGCCUGUCAACUUGGACUCAUCAUGGUUUCUUGCCUUCUCUCUACCUGUUUUCUGUUUAGACAUCACUGCCUUCGUCUGGCUGUCACCAACAUGUAGCCUGGCCUAUAACAGUGGCUGUACCUGGGUCUCUAAUCCCUCCUCCAAUCAGUUGCUUCUGGGAAAAUGAAAGCAUAUGUCUGAACAUGUUCUUUUCCUGCAGGUGCCCAUGCUGGGCUCUGUCCAGUCUUCUUGCUCAGGGAGCCACACACUCCUUCAGAGUGACAGCAAGAUACCUCACAAAUUGCAGCCUAAGCUAAGCAUUUAACAGCUAAUAGUUCUGUGGGGAGACAAGAGAUAAGUGGUGUUGACCAGACAGAGCUAGCUCAGAGGGUGUUACAAAGAGAGAGCUAGCUCAGAGGAGGUUGCAAAGAACGUGUUCACAACCCUCCCACCCUCAUUCUCUCUCUUCCACGAUAGUCCUUUGCCCCUUUGCCUCGCCCUGUUUUCUCUUUGCUCUGAUGGCUAUCUAUCUACUUAGGUGGAUGAGUAGAUGGGGUUUAUGUCUGCUCCUGAGUUGGUCACUUGCUGCUGUACCCUGAGUUGAUUUCCUCAGCACAUCUGGGAACAUCUGCCUACGCUGAAGACUUUCUGAGCUUGGAGGAGCAUUCAGUCUAUAGUGUCCAACAUAGCUCCUGGGGCUUAGCCAUUGCUUCUUCAAUGGUGGUGGUUUGCUUGAGCACAUUUUCAUAUUCUACUACUCUCAAAAACUCACUUAAAAGUUUUGGUUUUUUUUUUUUUUGCCACCCCAAACCCAGACUUGCAUAUUGGCUCUUGGAAAAGUUUGUUCAGUUAGUACCUUGAGGCCCUUGUCUCUCAGGAAGCCAUCAUAUGUAUUUGUGGCUAUAAAUUCCUACCUUCCUAUCCUGCAACAGACUUUACAAGGUGGUGAGCAAGAGGUUCUUUAGAUGUGUAUUUAAAAGUCAAAUUAAAAUUCCAGCUUCCAUAUUUCCAUUUUCUUGGAUUUUGAUGCUGUUUGUGUAGAGAAUAAAAAAGAAUGUAAAGA